CCGCCCUGCUGUUAGUGUGGCGCGGGUGGCGGGUGUCGGUGUUAUGCUGCAGAAACAUACAUCAAUCGAAGUUGAAGGUCGAAGGUCGAAUAAAAAGCACUGCGUUUGAAAUGGCUGAAGAAUCUACGACUACGCGUCCUAUCAGGCUUAUGAAUUUUGUUUUCAGGACCAGCAAAAUCGAAAAUGGUUUGGAGCAGUUGGAUGAAGCAAAGAGAACAAGGUGUAAGCGUGUGGGAGAUGGCACUGCUCAGAGGGACAGACCCCUUUACGAGAUCUUAAAGGAAAAUAAAGACAAGCGGGAUGCUGAGUUUAACGAACGCUUCAAGCACAGUCUGUUUUAUUUCCACUUGCCUCCUUUUUUUCUUUUUUUAAUUAAUUAUUUAUUUAUUUAUAUUAAUCUCUCCCUCCCUGUCCCCAAAUGAGAGCUGGUAAGUCUCAUGUAAUUGUAUUCAUUGAUAAAACCAAGACCAUUACUGCAAGGAUCAGGGCCCUUGAUUAGUAAGUUUGAAUUGAUUA